CGGCACUUUCUUAAGAUCGUGGAACUGUGAUGGUCGCGUUUUACACACACACACACACACACACACACACACACACACACACACACACACACACUUUGCGUGCAGAGAAAGAGAAACACUUGUGCCUGGACGACUUCUGCAUUAAGGACGUGGCACUAAGGAGGAUUGUCCAGCCGCAGAUGACGCUGAAGAACCGUUACAUGCCGCUAACACCUGUCUGCUUCAGCAGCUUGGUUGAAAUGGAGAAACUUGUUCCAUCCCAUCAUCUUAGCCCUAAGGACUCCAAACAAAGAAACCGACUGGAACGUGGCCAGACGCCUGCUUCCUCCAAGAUAAAUCUGCUUAAACACCAGGUAGCAACACCACGUGCGGAGGGCUCUUCGGGAUCGUCUUCCGUUGGUGUUGACAACGUGUCUGCGCGGCAAGAGGUUGGAUGAUGCACUGUGCCCAACUAAUCAUACACGUGAUGCCUUGAGAGGUCGGGGUCAGAUUGUGAGUACUCCUCUGUUUUCCUGAUCCGAUGUGAGGUCAAAGGUCAGGGAUGUCUGUGUCCAGAUUGUAAUGCACUCCGAGACAAAUUUGUAAAUUGUGAAAAUGGGCUAUACAAAUAAACUGAAUUGAAUUGA